GAUUUCUGACGAAACUGCUAGCUGGCCCGCCACGUGAGUGUGUGAGUGCCGGCUUGGCGUUUGUCAUCCUUUCGAAUGAUACAUGUACUGCCCUUCACUGGGUUGGUGCUAUGUGUUUUCGAUAUUUUACUUUGAAAAAAUUAGAGUGUUUAAAGCAGGCAUGUUUUGCUAUGAAUACAUUAGCAUGGAAUAAUAAUUUAGGACUUCGGUUCUAUUUUGUUGGUUUCUAGGACUGAAGUAAUGAUUGAUAGGGACAGUUGGGGGUGCUAGUAUUCCGCGGCCAGAGGUGAAAUUCUUGGAUUCGCGGAAGACUAACUACUGCGAAAGCAUU
rnacentral:rRNA from 1 species